AGUGAACGCUGGCGGUAGGCCUAACACAUGCAAGUCGAACGGCAGCACAGUAAGAGCUUGCUCUUACGGGUGGCGAGUGGCGGACGGGUGAGGAAUACAUCGGAAUCUACUUUUUCGUGGGGGAUAACGUAGGGAAACUUACGCUAAUACCGCAUACGACCUACGGGUGAAAGCAGGGGAUCUUCGGACCUUGCGCGAUUGAAUGAGCCGAUGUCGGAUUAGCUAGUUGGCGGGGUAAAGGCCCACCAAGGCGACGCUCCGUAGCUGGUCUGAGAGGAUGGUCAGCCACACUGGAACUGAGACACGGUCCAGACUCCUACGGGAGGCAGCAGUGGGGAAUAUUGGACAAUGGGCGCAAGCCUGAUCCAGCCAUACCGCGUGGGUGAAGAAGGCCUUCGGGUUGUAAAGCCCUUUUGUUGGGAAAGAAAAGCAGCAGGUUAAUACCCCGCUGUUCUGACGGUACCCAAAGAAUAAGCACCGGCUAACUUCGUG
rnacentral:rRNA from 1 species